AACGAACGCUGGCGGCAGGCUUAACACAUGCAAGUCGAACGCAUCCUUCGGGGUGAGUGGCAGACGGGUGAGUAACGCGUGGGAACGUGCCCUUCAGUUCGGGAUAACCCAGGGAAACUUGGGCUAAUACCGGAUACGUGCGAGAGCAGAAAGAUUUAUCGCUGAAGGAUCGGCCCGCGUCUGAUUAGCUAGUUGGUGGGGUAAUGGCCCACCAAGGCGACGAUCAGUAGCUGGUCUGAGAGGAUGAGCAGCCACAUUGGGACUGAGACACGGCCCAAACUCCUACGGGAGGCAGCAGUGGGGAAUAUUGGACAAUGGGCGCAAGCCUGAUCCAGCCAUGCCGCGUGAGUGAUGAAGGCCUUAGGGUUGUAAAGCUCUUUCGUCGGGGACGAUAAUGACGGUACCGGAAGAAGUAGCCCCGGCUAACUUCGUGCCAGCCGCCGCGGUAA
rnacentral:rRNA from 1 species